rnacentral:misc_RNA from 1 species
CCAAGCCAAAGCAAUUCCAUCUUAGAGGGGUAAUUUCAAAUAAGUUAGUUUCUUAUUUCGAACUGUCAAGAAUACAAAAAUUUACUCGACUCUUAUUAAACAUUGGUAUUCUAUUUAAUUCGUAUUAUAAUGGAAGAAAAUAAACCUGCUGACCAGACAUCGGCAAAAGUGGAGUCUUCUACGGAUAAUAAUUCAGAAAAUGUAACCAACCGAAGGAACUAUGGUGGAAGAACGCGCGCUCGCGGCGGGGGCCCUGGACAAAGAAAUAGACAAAGAUUCAACGAUGCUAGUGAAAAUAAAGAAGUUCUUCAGGGACGUAAGAGACCAGUUGGGGAUAAUUUUAAUAAUAACAAUCAAAAUAGCCAAAACUUUGUUGAAGACGCAUCACUUAAAAGCUACGGUCGUUUUAGACCAAGAAAUUUUGAAAAUAAGUUACAUGAGAAAGUAAUGGAACUAUCUGGGCCUACUUGGGAAUUACCAGUCAACGAUAUACCCGAGAGAAAGUUUAACUGUAGAAAUCGACUUUAUAUAGGAAACAUCUCUUCCGAAAUUACUGAAAACGAUCUAGAAGAAUUGUUUAAGCCUUAUGGUGAAACAGCCGAAAUUUUCAUCAACAAAGACAAAAACUUCGCCUUUUUAAAAUUCGACUAUAAUUGUAAUGCCAGAAAAGCGAAAAAAGAACUCGAUGGUACGCUUAUAAAAACAAGAGUUUUAAAAAUAAGAGUGGCUCCUUACUCGUCUUCUGUGAAGGUGAAGAAUUUGACUCCUUAUGUGACAAACGAGCUAUUGGCCUAUGCAUUUUCUAUUUUUGGAGAGGUUGACAGAGCUGUCGUAUGCGUUGAUGAACGUGGCAAACCAACAGGAGAAGCUAUUAUCGACUUCUCAAAAAAGGGUUCAUCUUUGCAUGCCAUUAAAGCAUGCUCAGACGAUUGCUUCUUUUUGACUAAUUCACUAAGACCAUGUAUAGUGGAACCUUUCGAAUACUCAGAUCUUAGCGAUGGCUAUUCUGAAAAAGAUGUUCCAAAAAGAAAUAACGAUUAUCAGAAUGAGAGAAAUAUUGGACCAAGAUUUGCAACAAAAGGAAGUUUUGAAGAGGAUUAUGGAGUGCGUUGGAAAGAACUGUAUAGUAUACAUAGACAAAAGGAAUUAGCUUUAAAGAUGGACUUCAAUUUGGAAGUAGAAAAACUGCAAGCACAGAUAGAGUAUGCAAAGUACGAAUACGAAACUGAAGAAUUAAGAAAUACGCUUCGAAUGAGAGAAAUGAACAAAGAAAAACAAAAAAGAGAAUGGGAGAUGAAAAAACGUCAAUUCGAAGAAGAGCGUCAACGCACCGAAGAAAAUAUGAAACGAAGUCAGGAAGGAAUAGAUGCUCGAGUACAUCGAGAGCAAGAAGAUAUGAGAAGAAUGCAAGAGGAGAAUAAACUAUAUUUGCAGGCACACAACCUUGAUUCGAUUCUGGAAAUGCAGGAGAAACAUUUUACCAAAAAAUGUCCAACAAAUUGGAAUUCCCUAAAUAUAAAUUUAAUGUGUAAAAUUAUUUUAAGCUGUGCAAUAUGCAUGUUUUUGGAAAAAAGUUAUUAAUAUUUCUUUUGAAGGAGAUUAAAGAUUUAAUCAACAAAUUUGCAGCAAACGUCAUUUACAGUGAGGUACUACCGCUCAACUUUUAAUACCACUGGAAAAAUUACACUUGGAAGUCUGUCUGGAUAGGAACAAUUUGAAGCUUCGUAGGUGGUACGUACAAAGCUAGAGGUUCCAUCAUUGGGGAAGACACUAAUUUGCAUAUUCUGGCGCAUCUAUAAAUUGUCUAAGAACCGCUUUUAAAGUUGGUGAUUGGUUACUGACAUUUAAAACUGUUCCUGACACUAUUUAAUGCUAAGCCGUGACUUAGGAAGAAACUUCAAAUUUUGACCUCUGUACAAGUAGGUACAAUAAUAUGCAAAUUAGUGCCUUCCCAAAUGACGGAACCUCUAUCUUUGGUAAGUUUUCCGUUUGAUGUGACUAACGAUACUGUAUUAAAACUAAGUCAUAAUUUGAUGAAAUAUAGUGCAAACAAUUGCAAUUACAUACAUUAUAAGUUGUUAAAGUAAUUCGUUGUAAUAAACCUCUACUUGAUAAUAUUACUACAUAAUACUAUGCAUGAACUUUUGUGAUACAUGUGUUAUGUAAAACCAAUUGAUUGUUUUAAAUAAUGUUAUCAGUAUAAGUAUACUCCACUUUCUAUACCUAUGUGCGGGGCUCUAUCUAAAUAAUCAACUUUAAUUUUAAUCAUGAGUGUCAUUCACAAAAAAUGGUUCCCUAUGCCACUGAGAAAGAGUGCGUGGGAUAAAUCUGGCAACACUGCAUUACACAUCAACUCUCCCUCUCUUUCACCUCACCACUUUCCCAUAGCUGCAUUGCUCUUACCUCCAACGUGAAAUUAAUGCUGUGAUACGUUUUUUAAAUGCAAAAUGGAUUUCACUUAUCCACAUUCAUCGUCAGUUAAUUGAAGUUUAUGGGUAAAAGUGCAUAUCUGUUCAACAUCUUUGUAAGUGGUGUAGAUAAUUCAGUGAAGUUCAAACGGAAAUUCAAGAUAAAUCUGAUGCGUUCGACUCCGGUCUUCAUCGUGAAUUUCCGUUCGGCCUUCACUGAGUUCCUUACACAAUUUAUGAACAUGUCGAACAGAUAUGCACUUUUACCCAUAAACUUCGAUUAACUGACAAUAAUUUCAAUAGGUGAAAUCGAUUUUGCAUUUAAAAAACGUAUCACAGCCUGAAUUUCACGUUGGCGGUAACAGUGACCGGGACCUCCAUCUUCGAAGGCUGUUAGGCCGAUACUGAGCAAUGCAGCGAGGCAAAAGUCGUAGCAAAGAAUGUAUACUCUCCUAGAAGAAGAGUUUGAAUGUAACAGAUGGUCAAGUUUAUUGGUCCCUUGAAGAUACCGUAGUCGUUGUCAGGCCACAUGCACCUACUUAGUAGGAACACAAAAUCCUAUGCUGAACUGAAACGUUACAGUGCAGUACCCUUCUAUCAACGUCUAUAUUCUUUGGUGGUAGGGUGAGAGAAAGAGGGGUAGUUGAUGUGUAAGGCACUCGAAUUUUUUACGAAUGACCUUCGUACUUAUCCACAGUAACAUGAUCGAGUUGGUCUUCAGCCAAACAUUCAUUCACUAAAGGUCCAUUUAACAAUAACCCAAAUUGUGCCGAUAUGAUAGAAUUUAAGUCUAGAUAGUCUGGCAGAGACGUAGAAAAGUGCUUACUCAGUAGUUUAUCAAAUUCACAUACAUAUUAUGUAGCGUAAUGCUUUUUUAUUAAUUUUAAUUACCUGUUACAAUUCGGUUUAUUCGCGGAACCACAUCGUAAUUGGCGUUUACAGUAUGUUUGUAAUGCAGAUCUUUGGAUAAUCUAAAAAAUUUGGCUCAUAGCCAAUAUAAUCUUUUCAAUAAAUUUCAACCACUUUGAAUAAUAGCUAUAAAAACCUCUUAUAUUUGCUUAUACAUUUAGAUUUUUUUCCUUCUAUGCUACACUAGUCUUUCAACUAUUGACAUACCGUCAUUCAAAAUGGUCACAGUAUCAGAUAAAAUGGCAGAAAGAGAUAAUUCCAGACCAAGUAUAAGACCAAACCCAAAAAACAAUGUUUCAUUAUGAAUUUUCUACUCUAAUUGUUGUUAAUCGUUCCAUUAUUUAUCCAAUUUUACUAUUAAAUUUCUUUUAUGACUUUACCCGGUCUCAAUUAUGUUUGAUUUUGGUUUUGGCUAAUAAUUUUUUCUUUUGCUUGUUCCUUUAUGUCUUUUAAUUUCUUUUUGGUCAAUUGUUUCUCUUCCUGCUAACUUGUCUCUAUUGAUUUGUUCUAUUCUACGUUCAUUUUUUGCUAAUCAUUCUAUUAUUUAUCCAAUUAAUAUCUUCCAACUUUAGAAAUAUCUACAAUAUUGCUUUUACCAGAAAAUAAAUUUUUCUAUGUAUUGUACUACCGAAUCUGUUUAUUUUAUAAAUGUUUUUUUAUCUGGCUUAAAUUGAAAAAAAUAUAACACUUUCGGAAUUCUAAUUUCGUAUUUAGUAAUUAAAACUAAAACGGCCCCUAGCAUUUAGUUAUAUUUAAUUUAAACGAUUUGAAACAUUGACAUGUAGUUUAUAUUUUUGUUUUUCGUUUCCUGUUUUCAACUGUUUUAUGAUUUUUGUACUUUUCUUGUUUCUUAAUAAAUUUAU